UACGGAGGGUGCGAGCGUUAAUCGGAAUUACUGGGCGUAAAGCGCACGUAGGCGGUGGCGUGAGUCGGAUGUGAAAGCCCCGGGCUUAACCUGGGAAUUGCAUUCGAUACCGCGUCGCUAGAGUUUGGGAGAGGGAAGGGGAAUUCCGGGUGUAGCGGUGAAAUGCGUAGAUAUCCGGAGGAACACCAGUGGCGAAGGCGCCUUCCUGGCCUAAGACUGACGCUGAGGUGCGAAAGCGUGGGGAGCAAACAGG
rnacentral:rRNA from 1 species